AAAGUCGUAACAAGGUUUCCGUAGGUGAACCUGCGGAAGGAUCAUUAUUAUUUGGGUAGGGUUUUCUGCCUUUAGUCUUAUUCGUUUUGUUCUUUAUCUUCUCCUUUGGCAGAAAACCUCCCCCAAAUAUAAAGGAGCAAGCUAUUUAAAACCCACUCUUGAAUUUUAUAUUUAUAUGUAUUUUGAACAAUAAAAUUAAAGAUCACUUUCAACAACGGAUCUCUUGGCUCUC
rnacentral:misc_RNA from 1 species